UAGAUAAUUAUCUUUUGAUGAAUGUUUUGGAUAUGCACAGGUUCUAUUCUCCAAAUUUAUUGCAGUUUUAUUGGAUCGCAAUUACAGAUAAAUUAUGCUUUCAGGUUUGAAUCAUAUUCGAGCUAGAACUAUUGCUAGACAGUUUUAUUGGAUCGCAAUUACAGAUAGAUUAUGCUUUCAGGGUUUAGGUGGUUGGAUGCACAGAGUUCACGCCUAUAGAGUGAGUUGUCGUCUUGCUUCCAGUUGUCCAUCAUUGAUGAGGUUUUGGGAAGACACAGAGGUUAAGUAAUAUCAAGUCUUAUUGUUAAGUGCAUGUAUAUCUUAAUUUCAAAAGGUAGAUCGUUUACUCUGGGCGGACCCCCAUACGUAGAUGUUUUAUCACCAAAUUUGGUAACCGUAUCUUGGCGUGUUAUUCUUUACUGUUUUAAUACAUUCUCUGCUACAAUCAUACAA